rnacentral:rRNA from 1 species
GAUGAACGCUGGCGGCGUGCCUAAUGCAUGCAAGUCGAGCGAACGGACGAGAAGCUUGCUUCUCUGAUGUUAGCGGCGGACGGGUGAGUAACACGUGGAUAACCUACCUAUAAGACUGGGAUAACUUCGGGAAACCGGAGCUAAUACCGGAUAAUAUUUUGAACCGCAUGGUUCAAAAGUGAAAGGCGGUCUUGCUGUCACUUAUAGAUGGAUCCGCGCUGCAUUAGCUAGUUGGUAAGGUAACGGCUUACCAAGGCAACGAUGCAUAGCCGACCUGAGAGGGUGAUCGGCCACACUGGAACUGAGACACGGUCCAGACUCCUACGGGAGGCAGCAGUAGGGAAUCUUCCGCAAUGGGCGAAAGCCUGACGGAGCAACGCCGCGUGAGUGAUGAAGGUCUUCGGAUCGUAAAACUCUGUUAUUAGGGAAGAACAUAUGUGUAAGUAACUGUGCACAUCUUGACGGUACCUAAUCAGAAAGCCACGGCUAACUACGUG